rnacentral:rRNA from 1 species
UACGUAGGGUGCAAGCGUUUAAUCGGAAUACUGGGCGUAAAGCGUGCGCAGGCGGUUUUGUAAGUCUGUUGUGAAAUCCCCGGGCUCAACCUGGGAAUGGCAAUGGAGACUGCAAGGCUAGAGUUUGGCAGAGGGGGGGUAGAAUUCCACGUGUAGCAGUGAAAUGCGUAGAUAUGUGGAGGAACACCGAUGGCGAAGGCAGCCCCCCUGGGUCAAAACUGACGCUCAUGCACGAAAGCGUGGGGAGCAAACAGG